rnacentral:rRNA from 1 species
AACGAACGCUGGCGGCAUGCCUAACACAUGCCAGUCGAACGAGACCUUCGGGUCUAGUGGCGCACGGGUGCGUAACGCGUGGGAACCUGCCCUUAGGUUCGGAAUAACUCCCCGAAAGGGGUGCUAAUACCGGAUAAUGUCUUCGGACCAAAGAUUUAUCGCCUUUGGAUGGGCCCGCGUUGGAUUAGCUAGUUGGUAGGGUAAAAGCCUACCAAGGCGACGAUCCAUAGCUGGUCUGAGAGGAUGAUCAGCCACACUGGGACUGAGACACGGCCCAGACUCCUACGGGAGGAAGCAGUGGGGAAUAUUGGAAAAUGGGCGAAAGCCUGAUCCAGCAAUGCCGCGUGAGUGAUGAAGGCCUUAGGGUUGUAAAGCUCUUUUACCCGGGAUGAUAAUGACAGUACCGGGAGAAUAAGCUCCGGCUAACUCCGUG